rnacentral:sRNA from 1 species
CAAAGAGACCGCGAAACCGUUAGGAGGGAAACGAAUGCAGCUCGAUGGGUUAUGAGCGGGUUCAGGGGCGGUUUUUGGCCAACGAAGUGGCCGUGCAGACCAUAGUGGCUGUACGGUCGUUUGCAGGUGGUGAAUCGUCCUGCACUCCCGUUAAUAACCGGCCAACGUCGGUCUGGUUUGGCUCGAGCGGACGGUCGGAAGGUACCUCWCUGUGCAUGCGCAGGGAGAAUUUAUAGCCGAUCGCUUUCGCAGUUAAACGUAGCGGACCGAGGAGACGUGUGGCAAUCCACACUGGCAGAGCAUGCCCGCCGUUUCAGCGGUGGGCCGGACCGCUUCUAAUCGUUUGAGUAGGCGCUCUUGGGACUGCUUGUCAGUGCUAGUUGACGCCUUGUUCUCCGGGUUGGGAGGCCGGUCGCGUCU